rnacentral:rRNA from 1 species
UCAUAUUUCGAUGUCGAAGCUUGGAAUUGUCUGUAGACGACUUACGUACCUGGCAGGGUGCUGUAUUCGGUAGAGCAGUUUCCACGCUGCGAUCUGUUGAUACUCA